GUGGAUUAGAUACCCUGGUAGUCCACGCCGUAAACGAUGAGUACUAGGUGUUGCGGGUAUUGACCCCUGCAGUGCCGCAGCUAACGCAUUAAGUACUCCGCCUGGGAAGUACGGUCGCAAGACUAAAACUCAAAGGAAUUGACGGGGGCCCGCACAAGCGGUGGAGCAUGUGGUUUAAUUCGACGCAACGCGAAGAACCUUACCUGGGCUUGACAUCCGUGGAACCUUGUGGAAACACAGGGGUGCCUUCGGGAGCCACGAGACAGGUGCUGCAUGGCUGUCGCCAACU
rnacentral:rRNA from 1 species